GCUUUGGUAGCUCAGUUGGUAGAGCGCUCCCCUGAAGAGGGAGAUGUCGGCAGUUCGAGUCUGCCCCAAAGCA
rnacentral:tRNA from 1 species